rnacentral:lncRNA from 1 species
AUUAUAUAAAAUUUAAUCUCAUUUAUCAUAGGUUGUGUAAUAAUUUUGUACUGACAGCAUACUCACUGUAUACUCCAUAUGCAUUUACACCAACAGGUAAUGGAAAAGGAGGUGGAAGAUAUCAUCCAGGAAUGUAUCAGACCCAACUUCGUGGAGUUGCCAGUGGUGAUCGAGCGGCUGCCCACGCCAAAUGUGCAGGGGCAGUACUACCCCCUCGACACUGACCUCGAAGACAACGAAUCGCUUCCUUACGAUAACGACUCCCCCCAGCUCAAGAAGGAGGGUGACCAGACGGUGAAAGUCCCAACUGAACAGCAGGAAAAGGAAGACAACGAGAAUGACUCACAGAGCCAAAGUCAUGAAUCUGAUGACGUCAUCUACCAGGUCAUCCCUCGCCAAGCACAGGGAGGCGUCUAGGGAGGCACCUAGACAUGGGGCUUCUUCCUGGAAGGUGCACGCUGGGAUCGUGAACAACAUUGCUUGGCGGAGAUGUCAGCCAAGCAGCUACAUGACCAGUUACCUAUCAUCCUUUUCCAACCUGCUGCCCUCCCAGACAUGUCACACCAUGAGGGUGUGAGCUGUAAAUAUGAAGACCAGGCAGAAGAGAAAGGCAUGUACCACUGCCCUGUGUACCGCACCAGCGAGCGGAGUGGCACACUCUCCACCACAGGACAUUCCUCCAAUUAUAUCCUUGAUUUGAUCCUGCCUUCCUCCCUCCCAUGCCACCACUGGGUCAGUCGUGCAGCAGCAGCCCUUACCCAAUUAGAUGACUGAACCCCAUGUAUUUAUCAGCAAGUCAUCUUCAACUAACUGAAUGACUGAAGAUCAUUUGCAUACGUCACCCAACUGAAUGGUCUAUACUCUACUAUGAAUGAGCUGGAUGACUGAACUCCAUCUACAUGCCACCAUUUCUCAGUUGGAUAAGUGAACAUCAUCUUAAUUUGUAAUCACUCAGAAGGAUGAGAACUUCGUAACACAUUACUACCAUCCAGUUGGAAGCCAAACCAACAUCCACACCAUAUGACAACAGACUGGCUAACCUAAAGUAAACCAUAUCUUCUCCAACUAAA